rnacentral:rRNA from 4 species
AGAGUUUGAUCCUGGCUCAGGAUGAACGCUGGCGGCGUGCCUAAUACAUGCAAGUCGAGCGAACAGACGAGGAGCUUGCUCCUCUGACGUUAGCGGCGGACGGGUGAGUAACACGUGGAUAACCUACCUAUAAGACUGGGAUAACUUCGGGAAACCGGAGCUAAUACCGGAUAAUAUAUUGAACCGCAUGGUUCAAUAGUGAAAGACGGUUUUGCUGUCACUUAUAGAUGGAUCCGCGCCGCAUUAGCUAGUUGGUAAGGUAACGGCUUACCAAGGCAACGAUGCGUAGCCGACCUGAGAGGGUGAUCGGCCACACUGGAACUGAGACACGGUCCAGACUCCUACGGGAGGCAGCAGUAGGGAAUCUUCCGCAAUGGGCGAAAGCCUGACGGAGCAACGCCGCGUGAGUGAUGAAGGUCUUCGGAUCGUAAAACUCUGUUAUUAGGGAAGAACAAAUGUGUAAGUAACUAUGCACGUCUUGACGGUACCUAAUCAGAAAGCCACGGCUAACUACGUGCCAGCAGCCGCGGUAAUACGUAGGUGGCAAGCGUUAUCCGGAAUUAUUGGGCGUAAAGCGCGCGUAGGCGGUUUUUUAAGUCUGAUGUGAAAGCCCACGGCUCAACCGUGGAGGGUCAUUGGAAACUGGAAAACUUGAGUGCAGAAGAGGAAAGUGGAAUUCCAUGUGUAGCGGUGAAAUGCGCAGAGAUAUGGAGGAACACCAGUGGCGAAGGCGACUUUCUGGUCUGUAACUGACGCUGAUGUGCGAAAGCGUGGGGAUCAAACAGGAUUAGAUACCCUGGUAGUCCACGCCGUAAACGAUGAGUGCUAAGUG